rnacentral:rRNA from 1 species
CGAGAAAAGCUUCUAGUGAGAAAACAGCGGCCCGUACCGCAAACCGACACAGGUAGUCGAGGAGAGAAUCCUAAGGUGAGCGAGAGAACUCUCGUUAAGGAACUCGGCAAAAUGACCCCGUAACUUCGGGAGAAGGGGUGCUGAUCAUACGAUCAGCCGCAGUGAAUAGGCCCAAGCGACUGUUUAUCAAAAACACAGGUCUCUGCAAAAUCGUAAGAUGAAGUAUAGGGGCUGACGCCUGCCCGGUGCUGGAAGGUUAAGAGGAGUGCUUAGCGCAAGCGAAGGUACGAAUUGAAGCCCCAGUAAACGGCGGCCGUAACUAUAACGGUCCUAAGGUAGCGAAAUUCCUUGUCGGGUAAGUUCCGACCCGCACGAAAGGCGUAACGAUUUGGGCACUGUCUCAACGAGAGACUCGGUGAAAUUUUAGUACCUGUGAAGAUGCAGGUUACCCGCGACAGGACGGAAAGACCCCAUGGAGCUUUACUGUAGUUUGAUAUUGAGUGUCUGUACCGCAUGUACAGG